rnacentral:misc_RNA from 1 species
UUAUUUUAAUAUAACCUUUUAUUAUUUUAUUUUAUUCCAUUUUUCAAUUUUAUUUGGAUUUUUUUACAAAUUGUAAGACAAAAAUGGAAUUUCAAUCAUUUCAUUUAUCUUCUUUCUUAUUUUUAAGAUAUUCUUAUUUUAAAAAGAAAAUAAUGAAGCAAAAAGUGGAAAUUUUAUCCUUUUAAUAAAAAAAAAUUAUACAGUACAGAACGAAAGAAUACUACUCAAUCGUUAAUUAACAACCCUAAAAAAUAAAAAAAAUCCUUUUUCUUUAUUUUUCGGCAAUGGAAAGAAAAAAGUCUAGGUAAGUACAAUACUACUUACAAAAUACUCCUAAUUGAAAAGAAAAUUAAGGAGCAAUAAACCCUCUUGAUAGAACAAGAAAAAGUUUAUUGCUCCUUAAUAUUGAUAU